rnacentral:rRNA from 1 species
CUACGGGUUGCACCAGUAAGGAAUAUUGUGCAAUGGAGGCAACUCUGACGCAGCCAUGCCGCGUGCAGGACUGAAGGCCUUAUGGGUCGUAAACUGCUUUUAUUUAGGAAUAAACUCUUGUACGUGUACGAGACUGAAGGUACUAAAUGAAUAAGCACCGGCUAACUCCGUGCCAGCAGCCGCGGUAAUACGGAGGGUGCAAGCGUUAUCCGGAUUUAUUGGGUUUAAAGGGUGCGCAGGCGGACUAUUAAGUCAGAGGUGAAAUCCCGGAGCUCAACUUCGGAACUGCCUUUGAUACUGGUAGUCUUGAAUACGGUUGAAGUAGGCGGAAUGUAGCAUGUAGCGGUGAAAUGCAUAGAGAUGCUACAGAACACCGAUCGCGAAGGCAGCUUACUAAGCCGAUAUUGACGCUCAGGCACGAGAGCGUGGGGAGCGAACAGGAUUAGAUACCCCCGUAGUC